UACGUAGGGUCCGAGCGUUGUCCGGAUUUAUUGGGCGUAAAGAGCUCGUAGGCGGCUCAGUAAGUCGGAUGUGAAAACUCGGGGCUCAACCCCGAGACGCCAUCCGAUACUGCUGUGGCUUGAGUCUGGUAGGGGAACACGGAAUACCUGGUGUAGCGGUGAAAUGCGCAGAUAUCAGGAGGAACACCAUGGCGAAGGCAGCUCGCUGGGACGUUACUGACGCUGAGACGCGAAAGCGUGGGGGAGCAAACGGG
rnacentral:rRNA from 1 species